GAGUUUGAUCCUGGCUCAGGAUGAACGCUGGCGGUGUGCCUAACACAUGCAAGUCGAACGAAAGGCUUUAAAUAAAUUCUUCGAAGUUAUUUAAAGUUCUUUAGUGGCAGACGGCUGAGUAAUACAUUGGUACUCACCCCAAAGUGGGGGAUAGCUCAUCGAAAGAUGGGGUAAUCCCGCAUGUGCCCCUCGGGGUAAAGCUUCGGCGCUUUGGGAGAGGCCUUUGUCCUAUCAGUUUGUUGGUAAGGUAACGGCUUACCAAGACUAUGACGGGUAGCUGGAUCGAGAGGUUGAUCAGCCAGACUGGGACUGAGAUACGGCCCAGACUUCUACGGAAGGCAGCAGUGAGGAAUAUUUCGCAAUGGGCGCAAGCCUGACGAAGCGACACCGCGUGGAGGAUGACGGUUUUCGGACUGUAAACUCCUUUUAUAUGGGAAGAUUAUGACGGUACCAUAUGAAUAAGCACCGGCUAACUACGUGCCAGCAGCCGCGGUAA
rnacentral:rRNA from 1 species